UACGGGGGGGGGCAAGCGUUGUUCGGAAUUACUGGGCGUAAAGGGCGCGUAGGCGGUUGGAUAAGUCAGCUGUGAAAACCACGGGCUUAACUCGUGGCCUGCAGUUGAGACUGUCUGGCUUGAGUGUGGGAGAGGAGAGUGGAAUUCCUGGUGUAGCAGUGAAAUGCGUAGAUAUCAGGAGGAACACCGGUGGCGAAGGCAGCUCUCUGGACCACAACUGACGCUGAGGCGCGAAAGCUAGGGGAGCAAACAGG
rnacentral:rRNA from 1 species